rnacentral:lncRNA from 1 species
CUUUAAAAAGAAAAUGCAUUUUGGUACAUAUAAUAAUGAAUUGGCAUAAAAAUUGAAGUUCUAGAGAACAAGCCAAUAAGAACUCAUCAGUAAAUUCCAAAAAUUGGUUUUCUAAGAGAUACUCAAGAAAAUUCAACACAUUAUUCUCUCCCUUUUUCAUUAAGUUAGAGGCUCUUAAGAUCAACUGUUUGAAUUGCAAUUUGGUUCAUGAUUUAUGCAUAAGA